UACAGAGGGGGCAAGCGUUGUUCGGAAUUACUGGGCGUAAAGGGCGCGUAGGCGGCCCGCUAAGUCGAACGUGAAAUCCCCGAGCUCAACUCGGGAACUGCGUCCGAUACUGGCGGGCUUGAAUCCGGGAGAGGGAUGCGGAAUUCCAGGUGUAGCGGUGAAAUGCGUAGAUAUCUGGAGGAACACCGGUGGCGAAGGCGGCAUCCUGGACCGGCAUUGACGCUGAGGCGCGAAAGCUAGGGGAGCA
rnacentral:rRNA from 1 species